UAAUACGUAGGGUGCAAGCGUUGUCCGGAAUUAUUGGGCGUAAAGAGCUCGUAGGCGGUCUGUCGCGUCUGCUGUGAAAACCUCGGGCUUAACUCGGGGCGUGCAGUGGGUACGGGCAGGCUAGAGUGCGGUAGGGGAGACUGGAAUUCCUGGUGUAGCGGUGAAAUGCGCAGAUAUCAGGAGGAACACCGGUGGCGAAGGCGGGUCUCUGGGCCGUAACUGACGCUGAGGAGCGAAAGCAUGGGGAGCGAACAGGAUUAGAUACCCUGGUAGUCCAUGCCGUAAACGUUGGGCGCUAGGUGUGGGGCACAUUCCACGUGUUCUGUACCGCAGCUAACGCAUUAAGCGCCCCGCCUGGGGAGUACGGCCGCAAGGCUA
rnacentral:rRNA from 1 species